UGGGGAAUAUUGCGCAAUGGGGGGAACCCUGACGCAGCCAUGCCGCGUGAAUGAAGAAGGCCUUAGGGUUGUAAAGUUCUUUCGGUAUUGAGGAAGGUUGAUGUGUUAAUAGCACAUCAAAUUGACGUUAAAUACAGAAGAAGCACCGGCUAACUCCGUGCCAGCAGCCGCGGUAAUACGGAGGGUGCGAGCGUUAAUCGGAAUAACAGGGCGUAAAGGGCACGCAGGCGGUUAUUUAAGUGAGGUGUGAAAGCCCCGGGCUUAACCUGGGAAUUGCAUUUCAGACUGGGUAACUAGAGUACUUUAGGGAGGGGUAGAAUUCCACGUGUAGCGGUGAAAUGCGUAGAGAUGUGGAGGAAUACCGAAGGCGAAGGCAGCCCCUUGGGAAUGUACUGACGCUCAUGUGCGAAAGCGUGGGGAGCAAACAGGAUUAGAUACCCUGGUAGUCCACGCUGUAAACGCUGUCGAUUUGGGGGUUGGGGUUUAACUCUGGCGCCCGUAGCUAACGUGAUAAAUCGACCGCCUGGGGAGUACGGCCGCAAGGUUA
rnacentral:rRNA from 1 species